AAACAAUGAUGAGCACAUUAUCCCGAAUCUGAGCCCAGUUUGAUGAUACCAAACUACGGAUCUGACUACUGAGUU